rnacentral:lncRNA from 1 species
CACCUGCCAGAGACUCAAAAAUUUAACUGAACUCUUUCCAGCCAGUCAGUAUUAGGGUUUUAAACACUAAACUGAACUUUCCCUUUAGUCAGCAUUAGGGUUUUAAACCCUAAACUGAACUCUUUCCUUCAGUCAGCAUUAGGGUUUUAAACCCUAAACUGAACUUUUCCAUUCAGUCAGCAUUAGGGUUUUAAACCCAAAACUGAACUCUUUCCUUUAGUCAGCAUUAGGGUUUUAGACCCUAAACUGAACUUUUUCCCAUUCAGUCAGUAUUAGGGUUUUAAACCCUAAACUGAACUUUUUCUAUUCAGUCAGCAUUAGGGUUUUAAACCCUAAACUGAACUCUUUCCUUUAGUCAGCAUUAGGGUUUUAAACCCUAAACUGAUCUCUUUCCUUCAGUUAGCAUUAGGGUUUUAAACCCUAAACUUAACUUUUCCAUUCAGUCAGCAUUAGGGUUUUAAACCCUAAACUGAACUCUUUCCUUUAGUCAGCAUUAAGGUUUUAAACUCUAAACUGAACUUUUUCCAUUCUGUUAGCAUUAGGGUUUUAAACCCUAAACUGAACU